UCAAUUUCAACUCAGACCCUAUUAAGUACUAUUAAUGCAUAGUACUGAUCGUAUUAUUUUUUCUUGAUGGUGGAUGCGGAUUUGCGAGAGGGCAAAGUAAAUUAAGCAAAAAAUGCAGAGCAAUCUGUACAAGGUCCUUCAGCUGCUUGUGGUCAAUAAAAUUGUUCAAAGUUGCUGGAGGAUUUGAGGCAUUCGUCACAGGGAAGACAACGAGCGUACAACAAAUAGACGUGUAGCCUUGAGAGGCUGAACCCGACUACAAGACCAACAACGUGUGUUUACUUUUGUCAAGGCAUCAUUGUAACAUAGGUUCUCGAUGUGGUUGUUCAUAUCAUGUUCUCCCUUUCUGAGAGGCAAAUGGAACAUCGAGUGGUUUGGAUCUGGAAGCCCUGGGCUUCUUGCUGCUCGGAUCUUGUUCGAGAGGUUUCCUCCAGCAUUGACAAGUUCGUUAAACCUUGAUGCAGUGAUCAAUGAUGGAUAUGCAAAUGUUUCUGCAGAUAAAGAGCAGAUUUACUGUCUCCACCCAGCUAUCUGUCAAGGAGCCACUUAGAAUGAAAGAGGAAUACAUUGAAGGGAUAUUUGAAUCCCCAAAAGUUAAUGAAGAAAGAAUGCCUGAAUAGCUAAGAGGUGCUUUACUUCAGGCUACUAACACGUUGCAGCAGCUACCUUUUUCCCAUCAGCAGAGAAGCAUUGGCUAAUGGAUUUAAGGUCCCCCCCCCUUGCCAGAACAUUUGACAGGCUGUUUAUGAUAUCUUAUCUCGAUGAAGAGAUCCUGGUAAUAGGUUUACUUCUUAUUGCUGAUAUUAUGGUGCUAGAAAUCUCUUACAUAGUGCAGCAGGCUCAUAUUACUCAGAAUAUCCAGACUUCAUGAUUGCAAUUAUCAUAAAAAAUUUAGCCAACAUAAACAGGAUAAAUUUCAACAUAACUCAUAGUUAUAGUUACACUUAGUAAAGGGGAGUCUGAAUCUGAUAUACAAAUUUUCCAUAAACUAGGAAGAGUCUUGAUUUGUGUCACUCAUCUUGUCCCAUUACUUGUUGCGCUUUGGUUAUUUGUGUGCAGAUUCUACGAGAUACUGAUGGAAUACCCGAAGUCCUUGAUCCCGGGCCAUUGCCUCUAGUAGAACCCGUAUCUGAAUACGAAAGUUGAAGGCACCUAACAUAGCAUAUAUAUCACGCUGUAAAAGGAUAGCCGAAGCAAAACUAUGGCUCAAGUUUUACUUAUAAUAGAAGCUUCUGUAUUUUUAUGAUUAAGUAACUUUCCUUUUCCGCGGAUGCAAUUUGAGAUCAGCUCUUAGCAGUAGUUGAUGCAGGUAACAACUAGCUGUGGUAGUUAGCAGAGUUGGUAAAUAUUGAAGCCUUCUUCCCUUGUUCACAUUUCUUUUUUAGAAAUUGAUUUAAAGUGGAAAAUGGGCAGCUAGUUUCUUGUCAUAUUCAUCUCUAGAAUUUUGGAAAUAUAGGAAACUGUCAAAUGUGAAUCCUGAGUCUCUCUUCAAUGAAAUGUGAUUUACUUUGUUUGA